CAGCGCAGAGCCAGGAGGCGCCUGCCCAGCGGAGCCGAGCCCCGGCCGAGAGGAGCAUGUGAGCGCCCGGACGGACCUUCAGCGCCUGCCCGGCUCCAGCAUGGGGCUCCCUCUGCUGCUGGGGCUGCUCCUCUGCCGAGCCGGAGGCCUCCUUGCUCUGCCAAGGGACUGCAUAGCAGCUGAGAAGAUUUGCCUGAUGGACCCUGCCUGCAAUGCCACCUACCAGGCCCUGGAAAACUGCUCCCUUGAUAAGACACGUUUCCUCCCUCUGAGUCCUGAUGCCAGAGCAAGGUGCUGGGAUGCAAAGCUGGACCUCAGAAGCAGCCCUUUACUGCAUUGCAAGUGUCACCGCCGCAUGAGGAGACAGAAGCACUGCCUGCGCAUCUACUGGACUGUUCACUCCAGCUUCACACACGGUUAUUUCAAUUUGGAGACUUCUCCUUAUGAGGAUCCAGCAAAUGAAGAACCCUGGAAGAUUGACUACAACAAGCUGGCAGCUUUGGUUUCAGGUUCACAUCUAGCAGGGGACAGCGCAAAUCCCUGCCUGAAAGCAACUCACUUCUGCAGUCUGAAUAAGAAAUGUGUCCAUCUGCGCACAUAUUAUGCCUCUAGCUGCACCAAGGGGGCAGAGUCUGGAGACACCUGUGACCAGCGUAAGUGCCACAAAAGGCUACGACAGUUCUUUGAGAAGGUCCCUGAGGAUUUCACCAAGAGGCUCCUGUUCUGUCCAUGUCAAGAUGAGCUCUGUGGGGAGCGACGCCGUAAAACCAUUGUCCCUGAGUGCUCCUUCCAGGACAGCAUCAAACCCAACUGCCUCCUUCUUUUGGACUCCUGUAUCAAAGACCAUAUCUGCAAAUCCCGACUGGCUGAUUUCCAACAGAACUGUGAGCCUGCAGGCAUGUCCCCGGAUGGCUGUUCUCAGCACAACCAUGCUGCGUGCCUGAAGGCUUACAUGGGGAUGAUUGGUACAGCCAUGACACCAAACUAUGUUGGUAACUCCAGCACGGAGGUUUCACUAUGGUGUACCUGUGAGAACAGUGGCAACCAGCAGGAGGAGUGUGACCAGAUACGCAGCAUGUUCAUUAGCAACAAAUGCCUCAAAAAUACAAUUCAGUCUCAGAUGCAUCUGAGCCAGGCAACUCUGGAGGGGCAGGAAGGAUUGUUUUACAUGCCUUCCUUGAGCUUCCAGGGGGACAGCACCAACACUUCUCUUGCUUCAGAAAUAUGCCAGGUCACCAAGACAAAGACAUGGCCAGACAUCUCUGAAUACAACAGCAUGCCCAUGGCCUCCUCUGUUUAUUCUGGAGCUGGGGUUUCCUGGCCUCCAAUGGCCCUGCUGCUGCUGCUACUGCUCCUGCUCAGCCCACCUUAACUUGACACAACAGGCAUUUGUCCCUUCCACAUAAUUCUCCUUACUCUGCACCCAGACAUUGACCUACUAACUCACCCUUCGGGAACUGAAGACCUCCAGAGAAGAGGAACUGAACAGUUUCACCCCAGAACAGGAAGGCCUGCAUCCUUCUCUUAGGAGUGAGUCAUUUCACUCAGCUCCUUCUGCAGCUAGAACUGCAGGGGCUGGUUGUCCAACACUAUCUCCUCCCCCAACUCCUAGCACUGCAAGAGGAAAAGUAGCCAGAUGGGAGACUUUAGAGCACUAUUUUGUUUGUUUGUAAAAACAAAGCUAGUCAAAAUUCUGUCCAAACAGCGUUUGCCUUUUGAAUGAAGGAGAAGGAGAGGCUCCAGCAGGUACCUGCAGCACUCCUCCACCUGGCCAAUUGGUGCUUUUCCUCUAGAGCAGAAAGCACCAGACUGGUGCCCAAGGGGGCAGAGACCUACUUCUACAGUAUCCUGAGAGCAGAGCAGGGCAAACUGACCCAUAAACUCUGUAAAUACCAGCUCUGGGUUCUGUUCAGGAUCCUUUUGAUCAUUUUUCAAAUCCAUUAUUUUAAGCCUGUAAAAGAAAACUGCCCCAGAGCCAAAGCAAGGAAGCUGGGCACUGGCCUCUGCUCUUGUUUCUUGUCCCUUUCAGCCAUCCAUAUCUUCCACUCUUAGUGCUAACAGGAGAUGUAGCCUUGGAUUUCAGCUCGAUUUCUUCACUCAGUCCCAUUAAACCUCAUGGCCGCCCAGAGGAUUCAGGAGGCCUGGGGUCUUCGGCGGCAGGUCCCAGGGUGGAAGGACCCCCCCGCUGCCGAAUUGCCACCGAAGACCCGGAGUGGAAGAAGCUCCGAGGGCCCGGACUCCUCAAGAGUUUUCCGGGGCCCCCGGAGCAAGUGAAGGACCCCAUUCCAGGGGCCCCGCAAAACUCUCGUGGGGGCCCCUGUGGGGCCUGGGGUAAAUUGCCCCACUUGCCCCCCCCUCUGGGCGGCCUUGUUAAACCUUGUCCAACAUUCCAUGACACUGCCUGGCUAGACCAUGUUUUUCUAGGACAAGGCUUGUUCAGCUGUCCCCACCACAGCUCCCUAGAGACAUACUGUACUGAUUUGCAGUGCAGAGACCUCAGGCAGCUUCAGUGACCUAGUGUCCCUUCACAUACCCCUUUGCCCCCUCCACAGUCUCCCUCCUCUCUGUCAGGUUCCAUUUUAUGACCUAUUUAUUCUGGGUGUAAACACGUGUGUUGUGUAACUGCUAUUCUGUUAUGCUGCAGUGGACUGUAAAAAUGUGGUGUUCAAGUGAAUAUUGAUUUCUGAGUGCAGAUUAAUAGUCCAUAAUGAAUUAUAUGAAAAAACUGCCUUAUCAGGGAAGCUUAUGUUUUCAGGAAAGCUGGCAGACUCGGAGCAGCUCCUCUGUACACAGAUGGUGUGUGGCUUUGGAAGAAACAAUGAAGCUGGGCAAAUGUUAUGCUCCUGGAAUGGAUGUGCAGCUGUCAGACCUCUCUACUGAUCCCUGUGUUCCAUUCCUGCCCGUCCCUCAGGAAGGGAAUCUUGUGUUGUGUCACUUGCCAGAUGCCUGAGAACCAUAGCAUCCCUCAUCUCUGGAUGCGCAAAUUAUGUUUCUCCACUGCAUCUCUGAACUGUCCUUCAGUAGUGGUAAUAUUUCCACUUUGAAUCCCAGUCUUCUCUGUGCCCACUCACUGAGGCAUUACUUUCUUCCUGCUGCUGCAAGAAGCAGGGACACCACACUGCCCAGCAGAGGGGCUGCACCUAAUUUCCAUAUAUUGGAGAAAGUCACAGCCACUGCCAUCAUUAACAGAGAGGGCUGAUCUACAGAUGACAAAAUGUCCCACUAUGCACUGACACCUGGCUGCUUGGAUCAAGAGGGAGCAUGGACCCCAAUGUGCUUCUUACACCUCCAUAAUCAAGCUGAGCAUGGCCAUGUUAUAGGAUUCCCUGGGCUCCAUUUGGCCAUGCACUGGUCGGACGCUGACAUGCAGGGGCCAGCAGUUCCCUGGAAACUUCCUUUUUACAGUAUAGCAGGAGUUGCCAUCUCCAAGGACUGGUGGUGGGAGGAGAAGAGGUUUCUUCCCAGUGUCCCACAGCAUGCAUAAAACAGAUGCAAGGAGUUCAGGGGAAUGUUGGGUCAGCAAGCCCCUAUGCAA